rnacentral:lncRNA from 13 species
UAAAAGCACUUUGACUUAAAACAAGUCAAGAUUGAAUUGAACUUACUCCAACAUCUCUUCGCCUCAAUAAAUACUUAUCAAGCAAUUACUACUAUUUAUCGUGAAUCGUCGACUCUGAUUAAGGAAGCAGAAAUAAUCAAUACACUCUAAUGAGUCUACCGACUUAUUAUAGAACCUGAUCGUGCGGUAUCAUCUUCGUUGAACUCAGCAACAAUGGAAGCAUUCUCAAGCGAUCUGCCUAAGCAUUACCAAUCUCUGAAAUCAAAUCGUCCUAAGAAAAGGAGACCUACUCAGCGUACCAAGAAAACAACGCUAUUCAAGCGACGCUUAGCCCAGCGUAAGCAGAGAAUAUUGCA